UACGUAGGUGGCGAGCGUUGUCCGGAUUUACUGGGCGUAAAGGGAGCGUAGGCGGACUUUUAAGUGAGAUGUGAAAUACUCGGGCUCAACUUGAGUGCUGCAUUUCAAACUGGAAGUCUAGAGUGCAGGAGAGGAGGAUGGAAUUCCUAGUGUAGCGGUGAAAUGCGUAGAGAUUAGGAAGAACACCAGUGGCGAAGGCGAUUCUCUGGACUGUGACUGACGCUGAGGCUCGAAAGCGUGGGGAGCAAACAGG
rnacentral:rRNA from 1 species